UAGCCGCCGAAGGGAACAGUUGUUUAAUGGUUCGUACGAAAGCGACGGCUAAAGGAAGUCAUCCAAUGAGAAACUGAGACGCUUCAUCUACCCUUACUUUCUGAUGAUGAUGACCAUGAUGCCUAUGAUGAGGAGAGGGAGAACAUUCACGACACUGAAUACCACGUGAAUAAAAUUAAGAAACUGAAACUGCUGGGGAAACUGUUGACGGUAACUACGGCUUGUGUACUUCAAUGGGGUUGUUGGUCGAUGGUCAGCCUCUGUGGAUUGUGGCGAUUGGGGUUUGCGUUUACAUCCUUGCCAACACUGCGGUAGACUGGUGGACGGCUCAAAAAAUUAAGAGGCUAUGAUUUUCAUUGGCAUCGUACUUAAUUUUAUUGGGUUUUGUUUUCGAUAUUAAGAUAGUGAGUUCUUAUUCUGGAAGUUUUUAG